rnacentral:rRNA from 1 species
GAUGAACGCUGGCGGCGUGCCUAAUACAUGCAAGUCGAGCGAACAGACGAGGAGCUUGCUCCUCUGACGUUAGCGGCGGACGGGUGAGUAACACGAGGAUAACCUACCUAUAAGACUGGGAUAACUUCGGGAAACCGGAGCUAAUACCGGAUAAUAUAUUGAACCGCAUGGUUCAAUAGUGAAAGACGGUUUUGCUGUCACUUAUAGAUGGAUCCGCGCCGCAUUAGCUAGUUGGUAAGGUAACGGCUUACCAAGGCGACGAUGCGUAGCCGACCUGAGAGGGUGAUCGGCCACACUGGAACUGAGACACGGUCCAGACUCCUACGGGAGGCAGCAGUAGGGAAUCGUCCGCAAUGGGCGAAAGCCUGACGGAGCAACGCCGCGUGAGUGAUGAAGGUCUUCGGAUCGUAAAACUCUGUUAUUAGGGAAGAACAAAUGUGUAAGUAACUAUGCACGUCUUGACGGUACCUAAUCAGAAAGCCACGGCUAACUACGUG